rnacentral:rRNA from 1 species
GAUGAACGCUGGCGGCGUGCCUAAUACAUGCAAGUCGAGCGAACAGACGAGGAGCUUGCUCCUCUGACGUUAGCGGCGGACGGGUGAGUAACACGUGGAUAACCUACCUAUAAGACUGGGAUAACUUCGGGAAACCGGAGCUAAUACCGGAUAAUAUAUUGAACCGCAUGGUUCAAUAGUGAAAGACGGUUUUGCUGUCACUUAUAGAUGGAUCCGCGCCGCAUUAGCUAGUUGGUAAGGUAACGGCUUACCAAGGCGACGAUGCGUAGCCGACCUGAGAGGGUGAUCGGCCACACUGGAACUGAGACACGGUCCAGACUCCUACGGGAGGCAGCAGUAGGGAAUCUUCCGCAAUGGGCGAAAGCCUGACGGAGCAACGCCGCGUGAGUGAUGAAGGUUUUCGGAUCGUAAAACUCUGUUAUUAGGGAAGAACAAAUGUGUAAGUAACUAUGCACGUCUUGACGGUACCUAAUCAGAAAGCCACGGCUAACUACGUG